GAUGAAGAACGUAGCGAAAUGCGAUAAGUAGUGUGAAUUGCAGAAUUCAGUGAAUCAUCGAAUCUUUGAACGCACAUUGCGCCCUUUGGUAUUCCAAAGGGCAUGCCUGUUCGAGCGUCAUUUGUACCCUCAAGCUUUGCUUGGUGUUGGGCGUCUUGUCUCUAGCUUUGCUGGAGACUCGCCUUAAAGUAAUUGGCAGCCGGCCUACUGGUUUCGGAGCGCAGCACAAGUCGCACUCUCUAUCAGCAAAGGUCUAGCAUCCAUUAAGCCUUUUUUUCAACUUUUGACCUCGGAUCAGGUAGGGAUACCGCUGAACUUAAGCAUAUCAAUAAGCGGAGGA
rnacentral:misc_RNA from 1 species